UUAAGUUAUUAAGGGCGCACGGUGGAUGCCUUGGCACUAGAAGCCGAUGAAGGACGUUACUAACGACGAUAUGCUUUGGGGAGCUGUAAGUAAGCUUUGAUCCAGAGAUUUCCGAAUGGGGAAACCCAGCAUGAGUUAUGUCAUGUUAUCGAUAUGUGAAUACAUAGCAUAUCAGAAGGCACACCCGGAGAACUGAAACAUCUUAGUACCCGGAGGAAGAGAAAGAAAAUUCGAUUCCCUUAGUAGCGGCGAGCGAAACGGGAAGAGCCCAAACCAACAAGCUUGCUUGUUGGGGUUGUAGGACACUCUAUACGGAGUUACAAAGGACGACAUUAGACGAAUCAUCUGGAAAGAUGAAUCAAAGAAGGUAAUAAUCCUGUAGUCGAAAAUGUUGUCUCUCUUGAGUGGAUCCUGAGUACGACGGAGCACGUGAAAUUCCGUCGGAAUCUGGGAGGACCAUCUCCUAAGGCUAAAUACUCUCUAGUGACCGAUAGUGAACCAGUACCGUGAGGGAAAGGUGAAAAGCACCCCGGAAGGGGAGUGAAAUAGAACCUGAAACCGUGUGCUUACAAGUAGUCAGAGCCCGUUAAUGGGUGAUGGCGUGCCUUUUGUAGAAUGAACCGGCGAGUUACGAUUUGAUGCAAGGUUAAGCAGUAAAUGUGGAGCCGUAGCGAAAGCGAGUCUGAAUAGGGCGUUUAGUAUUUGGUCGUAGACCCGAAACCAGGUGAUCUACCCUUGGUCAGGUUGAAGUUCAGGUAACACUGAAUGGAGGACCGAACCGACUUACGUUGAAAAGUGAGCGGAUGAACUGAGGGUAGCGGAGAAAUUCCAAUCGAACCUGGAGAUAGCUGGUUCUCUCCGAAAUAGCUUUAGGGCUAGCCUCAAGUGAUGAUUAUUGGAGGUAGAGCACUGUUUGGACGAGGGGCCCCUCUCGGGUUACCGAAUUCAGACAAACUCCGAAUGCCAAUUAAUUUAACUUGGGAGUCAGAACAUGGGUGAUAAGGUCCGUGUUCGAAAGGGAAACAGCCCAGACCACCAGCUAAGGUCCCAAAAUAUAUGUUAAGUGGAAAAGGAUGUGGCGUUGCCCAGACAACUAGGAUGUUGGCUUAGAAGCAGCCAUCAUUUAAAGAGUGCGUAAUAGCUCACUAGUCGAGUGACACUGCGCCGAAAAUGUACCGGGGCUAAACAUAUUACCGAAGCUGUGGAUUGUCCUUUGGACAAUGGUAGGAGAGCGUUCUAAGGGCGUUGAAGCAUGAUCGUAAGGACAUGUGGAGCGCUUAGAAGUGAGAAUGCCGGUGUGAGUAGCGAAAGACGGGUGAGAAUCCCGUCCACCGAUUGACUAAGGUUUCCAGAGGAAGGCUCGUCCGCUCUGGGUUAGUCGGGUCCUAAGCUGAGGCCGACAGGCGUAGGCGAUGGAUAACAGGUUGAUAUUCCUGUACCACCUAUAAUCGUUUUAAUCGAUGGGGGGACGCAGUAGGAUAGGCGAAGCGUGCGAUUGGAUUGCACGUCUAAGCAGUAAGGCUGAGUAUUAGGCAAAUCCGGUACUCGUUAAGGCUGAGCUGUGAUGGGGAGAAGACAUUGUGUCUUCGAGUCGUUGAUUUCACACUGCCGAGAAAAGCCUCUAGAUAGAAAAUAGGUGCCCGUACCGCAAACCGACACAGGUAGUCAAGAUGAGAAUUCUAAGGUGAGCGAGCGAACUCUCGUUAAGGAACUCGGCAAAAUGACCCCGUAACUUCGGGAGAAGGGGUGCUCUUUAGGGUUAACGCCCAGAAGAGCCGCAGUGAAUAGGCCCAAGCGACUGUUUAUCAAAAACACAGGUCUCUGCUAAACCGUAAGGUGAUGUAUAGGGGCUGACGCCUGCCCGGUGCUGGAAGGUUAAGAGGAGUGGUUAGCUUCUGCGAAGCUACGAAUCGAAGCCCCAGUAAACGGCGGCCGUAACUAUAACGGUCCUAAGGUAGCGAAAUUCCUUGUCGGGUAAGUUCCGACCCGCACGAAAGGCGUAACGAUUUGGGCACUGUCUCAACGAGAGACUCGGUGAAAUCAUAGUACCUGUGAAGAUGCAGGUUACCCGCGACAGGACGGAAAGACCCCGUGGAGCUUUACUGUAGCCUGAUAUUGAAAUUCGGCACAGCUUGUACAGGAUAGGUAGGAGCCUUUGAAACGUGAGCGCUAGCUUACGUGGAGGCGCUGGUGGGAUACUACCCUAGCUGUGUUGGCUUUCUAACCCGCACCACUUAUCGUGGUGGGAGACAGUGUCAGGCGGGCAGUUUGACUGGGGCGGUCGCCUCCUAAAAGGUAACGGAGGCGCUCAAAGGUUCCCUCAGAAUGGUUGGAAAUCAUUCAUAGAGUGUAAAGGCAUAAGGGAGCUUGACUGCGAGACCUACAAGUCGAGCAGGGUCGAAAGACGGACUUAGUGAUCCGGUGGUUCCGCAUGGAAGGGCCAUCGCUCAACGGAUAAAAGCUACCCCGGGGAUAACAGUAGUCGGUCCCAAGGGUUGGGCUGUUCGCCCAUUAAAGCGGUACGCGAGCUGGGUUCAGAACGUCGUGAGACAGUUCGGUCCCUAUCCGUCGUGGGCGUAGGAAAUUUGAGAGGAGCUGUCCUUAGUACGAGAGGACCGGGAUGGACAUACCUCUGGUGUACCAGUUGUCGUGCCAACGGCAUAGCUGGGUAGCUAUGUGUGGACGGGAUAAGUGCUGAAAGCAUCUAAGCAUGAAGCCCCCCUCAAGAUGAGAUUUCCCAACUUCGGUUAUAAGAUCCCUCAAAGAUGAUGAGGUUAAUAGGUUCGAGGUGGAAGCAUGGUGACAUGUGGAGCUGACGAAUACUAAUCGAUCGAAGACUUAAUCAA
rnacentral:rRNA from 1 species